AUUUUAUUUACAAGGGACAGCAAUGGGGACCAGGUUGCCCCCAGCUAUACUAACUUAUUCAUGUCAGGCUGGGAAAAUACCUUUUAUAUAUGGUUGCUGAGAAUAAGGGGCAAACCUAGUCACAAAUCCUAGAUAUAUAGAUGACCUUAAUUUUUAUAUGGAAAGGUUCAGAAGAAAAUCUUUAAGUAUUUUUAGAAAGACUAAAUACUUACAAUUGGG